rnacentral:rRNA from 1 species
AUGCAGCUUGAUCCUGAUGAUGCGGUCUUGUUCUCAGACAGGAGCCUUUGUUGGCUUAACAUGGGGAAUGGAAGAAAGGCUUUGCUAGAUGCUAAUAAAUGCAGAAAAAUGCGGCCUCACUGGCCAAAAGCUUGUCACCGGCAGGGUGAAGCUCUGAUGCUACUGAAGGACUAUGAGGGCGCAAGUGAACGGUUCUUGGAUGGACUCAAAUUGGACCCAGUGGACACUGAUAUCGAGGAUGCAUUACGGUAA